GUGGGGAAUAUUGCACAAUGGGCGAAAGCCUGAUGCAGCAACGCCGCGUGAAGGAAGAAGGCCUUUGGGUCGUAAACUUCUGUCCUUGGGGAAGAUAAUGACGGUACCCUUGGAGGAAGCCCCGGCUAACUACGUGCCAGCAGCCGCGGUAAUACGUAGGGGGCGAGCGUUAUCCGGAAUUAUUGGGCGUAAAGAGUACGUAGGUGGUUUCCUAAGCACAGGGUUUAAGGCUAAGGCUCAACCAUAGUUCGCCCUGUGAACUGGGAGACUUGAGUGCAGGAGAGGAAAGCGGAAUUCCUAGUGUAGCGGUGAAAUGCGUAGAUAUUAGGAGGAACACCAGUGGCGAAGGCGGCUUUCUGGACUGUAACUGACACUGAGGUACGAAAGCGUGGGGAGCAAACAGGAUUAGAAACCCGUGUAGUCC
rnacentral:rRNA from 1 species